rnacentral:rRNA from 1 species
GAUUCGGGGUCUACCUGCAGUCGACGGUUCGUGAUCCGCUUGCUUGCUUGCUGACGAGUGGAGGACGGGUGGAUAAUGUAUGGGACCUGCCUGAUGGACGGGGAUACUACUGGACACUUGGCUCUACCGCUUAACGUCAUAAGACCUUGAUGGGGAGCUUCAGGCCUCUUGGGCUCUUACGUGCCCCGAUGGAAUUAGCUAGUGGGUGGGGUAACGGCUCACGGUGAGGUCUAUCCUCACCUGGACACGAUGCAUAACCACCUGUGAAGGAAUCGCCCACUGGACUUGAAACCGGCCAACUCUCAGGAGCAGCAUGGGGGAAUCUUCGGCAAUGGACUAAGUCGACCGAACAACGCCGCGUGAGUGAAAAAGGUUUCGGAUCGUAAAGACUCUGUUUUGAGAGACAGUUGGUUAGUACUGAACGUCCCUGACGGUUCUACAGAAAGCCACGGCUAACUCGUCCAGCAGCCGCGGUAAUACGAGGUGGCAAGCGUUGUCGGAUUUAUUGGGCGUAAAGCGAGCGCAGGCGGUUUCUUAAUCUGAUGUGAAAGCCCCGGCUAACCGGGAGGUCAUUGGAAACUGGGGCUGAGUCGAAGAGGAGGUGGAAUUCCAUGUGUAGCGGUGAAAUGCGUAGAUAUAGGAGGAACUCCGUGGUGAAGGGCUUGGUUGAAUGACGCUCGGCUCGAAAGCGUGGGAGCAAACAGGAUUAGAUACCUGGUAGUCCACGCCGUAACCGAUGUCGAUAAGUGUUGAGGCCUUCCAGCCUUCAUUCCGCAGCUAACGCGUUAAGCAGUCCGCCUGGGGAGUACGGCCGCAAGGUUAAAACUCAAAUGAAUUGACGGGGGCCCGCACAAGCGGUGGAGCAUGUGGUUUAAUUCGAUGCAACGCGAAGAACCUUACCUAGUCUUGACAUCCAGUGAACUUUCCAGAGAUGGAUUGGUGCCUUCGGGAACAAAAUACAGGUGCUGCAUGGCUGUCGUCAGCUCGUGUUGUGAAAUGUUGGGUUAAGUCCCGCAACGAGCGCAACCCUUUUCCUUAGUUGCCAGCGGUUCGGCUGGGCACUCAAAGGAGACUGCCGGUGACAAACCGGAGGAAGGGGGGGAUGACGUCAAGUCAUCAUGCCCUUAUGGCGUAGGGCUCCCCACGUGCUCCAAUGGAAGAUACAAAGAGAAGCGACCUCGCGAGAGCAAGCGGUCUUCUUAAACUCCUUUCUAGUCCGGAUUCAAGUCUGCAACUCGACUCCAUGAACUCGGAAUCGCUAGUAAUGGGGGAUCAGAAUGCCACGGUGAAUACGUUCCCGGCCUUGGUCCACACGGCCGGUCACACCAUGGAAUUGGGUUCCCAAGGAAGUAGGUAGCUAACCCUUUGGAGGCCGCUGCCCACGGUGGAUUCAUGACUGGGGAAGUCGUAACAAGACCAUGCCC